AUGUCUUGCUCACCAUCCUUCUUUUUCUCCCGGUGUACUUUAGCAUGUGGGCUUCCCCAGAGGCUCAGCGGUAAAGAAUCUGCCUGCAGUGCAGGAGACCCAGGUUUGAUCCCCUGGAGGAGGGUCUGGCAGCCCACGGCAGUAUUCUUGCCUGGAGAAUCCCAUGGACACAGGAGCCUGGUGGGCGACAGUUCAUAGGGUUGCAAAGAGUCAGACGUGACUGAAGAGACUGAGCAUGCACACACACAUUUGAGCACACACGGAAUAUUUUUGUUUUUCUUUUAAAAUGUCUCCUUAUUUCUUCUGAAGUAUUUCACUACAUUUUUGUUCUCUUUUAAUACUAUCCUAUAGAAUUUUCCAUGCUAAUGAAAAUGUUCUAUAUUUGUACUAUUCAAUAAAAUAGCCAGUGGCCACCUGUGGCUGUUUAUCACUUGAAAUGUGAAUAGUGUGACUAAGGAAAUAAACGUUCAGUAUUAUUUAAUUAGCAUUAAUGUAAAUUUAAACAGCCAUUUGUGGCUAUUUGCCAAUCUAUUGGACAGGUCAGUGAGACUAAGAGCCAUCUUUAUAUUAUUUGAUGAUACAAAUGCGAUUGGCAUUAAAAUUGUCUUUCUGGUUUCCCAGAAAUGUCCUUCAUUUCUGCCUUCUAAAUUUGAUUCUAGAGCAUCUACCUCUCUAGAUUUAGGGAGCACCAACCGUACGCUGGGACUAGUGAGGGGUAUUGGUGAUUUAAGAAUGCUUGUACUCAAGCAAGGAAGAGAUGGGUAAAGAAAUCAAUGACAAUAAUGAAGGUUCCUCAAAAAACUAAAAAUACAGUUGCCACAUGAUCCUGCAAUCCCACUCUUAGUCACAUAUUCAGAUAAAACUAUAAUUUGAAAAGAUACAUGAGCCCAAUACUCAUUGCAGCACUGUUCACAAUAGUCAAGACAUAGAAGCAAUCUAAAGAUCCAUUGACAGAUGAACGGAUAAAGAAGAUGUACAUAUACACAAAGGAAUACUACUCAGGCAUAAAAAAGAAUGAAUAAUAUCAUUUGCAACAAUAUGGAUGGACCUAGAGAUUAUAAUACUAAGUGAAGUAAGUCAGACAGAGAAAGGCAAAUGCCAUACGAUAUCACUUAUAUAUGAAGUCUAAAAUAUAACACAAAUGAACGUAUC
rnacentral:lncRNA from 1 species